UCUCUAGUGGUCCAGUGGUUAGGACUCUAUACUUUCAAUGCAGGAGCCCCGGGUUUGAUCCCUGGUCAGGGAA
rnacentral:tRNA from 1 species